rnacentral:rRNA from 1 species
GGGGGGGGGGGGGGGGGGGGGGGGGGGGGGGGGGGCGGGCGAAGAGAGGAGGGGGUUGCUCCUCUGGCGUUAGCGGCGGACGGGUGAGUAACACGUGGAUAACCUACCUAUAAGACUGGGAUAACUUCGGGAAACCGGAGCUAAUACCGGAUAAUAUAUUGAACCGCAUGGUUCAAUAGUGAAAGACGGUUUUGCUGUCACUUAUAGAUGGAUCCGCGCCGCAUUAGCUAGUUGGUAAGGUACCGGCUUACCAAGGCAACGAUGCGUAGCCGACCUGAGAGGGUGAUCGGCCACACUGGAACUGAGACACGGUCCAGACUCCUACGGGAGGCAGCAGUAGGGAAUCUUCCGCAAUGGGCGAAAGCCUGACGGAGCAACGCCGCGUGAGUGAUGAAGGUCUUCGGAUCGUAAAACUCUGUUAUUAGGGAAGAACAAAUGUGUAAGUAACUAUGCACGUCUUGACGGUACCUAAUCAGAAAGCCACGGCUAACUACGUG